CAGCAGAGAAAUGAAUAAAAGUUGUGAGAAUAAUUAACUGAAAGGGAGUCCCCUGCAAUUAACUUGAUACCAUGAGUUUCAAAGCAUCACCAACGCUAAAUCAGUACCAUUCUCCAAGUCUUGAAUGAUUAAUCAGCAAAUAUGCAUUCUUCCUGACCCCCGUCUUCUCCACUUUUUGGGCUUUCUGAUCUCUUGUUCAUCAUCUUCAUCGGCUCUGACAUAAGUCUGAUCAAAGCACCUGUUCAGAGUAAUCUUUUUAUUGUUAAUUUUAAGUGUUAGCGACGGCGUUCUUCUUCCUGGCAAGCUUUGAGAAACAGAAUCUCUUCUUCCUUUGGGUAGGUAAAACCCCAGAUUGCCAAAUUCCUUUGGAGCCACUUGUUUUACAAUAUGC
rnacentral:lncRNA from 1 species